UAAAGUAUAUUUAUUUAAAUUAUUUGUUUAUUAAAUUUAUUAAUAAAAUCAAUUUUAAUUAUAAAUGUUAUUGUAUAGGAUAUAGAUUAAAUAAUUUUAAUUAUAGUUUAUUUGUAUUGAAAAAGAAUAUUGAAAUAUUAUAUAUAUAUAUUAAGUUUAAAUAAAAUUUUUUUUAUUGUACCUUGUGUAUCAGGGUUUAUUAAAAAAAAAUUUUUUAUAAAGAAUUUUCUCGAAAUUAAGAGAGCAAAUGAAUUAUUUUAUUUAAUGUAGUAAAAUUAUUUAAUAUAAUUUGUUAGUAAUGAAAUGUUAGUCGUUUUUAAUAUUAUCUAGUUUUUUAAGAAAUAAAUUUAAUUUAUAUAAUUAUAAGUAAAUUAUUAAUUUAAAAAUAAUUUAAUUUUAAUUAUAAAUAUUUUUAGGGAUAAGCUUAGAAAUAAAGACUAUAAAUUUAUUAUUAUAUAAAAAAUUAUAAGCUUAGAAAUAGUUAUUAAUAAAAAAAAUGUUAUAAUUUAUUUUUUAAAUAUAUAUAUAUAUAUAAAUAAUAAUUUAUUAAAAAUUUAGUUAUAUAUUAAAAUAUUAUUUUUAAUUAAAAUAAAAUAAGAAAUAAUGAUAAAAUUAGUAUAUUAUUUUUAUAAAAAUAAAUUAUUUUGAUAAUUUAAAUUAAGGAAUUCGGCAAAUUUAAUAUUCACCUGUUUAUCAAAAACAUGUCUUUUUGUUUAAAAUUUAAAGUCUAAUCUGCCCACUGAUUUAUUUAAAUGGCUGCAGUAUUUUGACUGUACAAAGGUAGCAUAAUCAUUAGUUUUUUAAUUAAAGGCUUGUAUGAAUGAUUGAAUGAAAUAUUUACUGUCUCAAUAUUAAAAUAUAAUAAAAUUUUAUUUUUUAGUUAAAAAGCUGAAAUAUAAUUAAGGGACGAGAAGACCCUAUAAAGUUUUAUAUUUAAAUAUAUAUAAUUUAUAUAAAAGUAUUUAAAUUUUAUAAUAUUAUAUAUUUUGUUGGGGUGACAAAAAGAUUUAAUAAACUCUUUUUUAUUUUAAUUAUUUAUUUAUAAAUUUUUGAUCCAUUAUUAAUGAUUAUAAGACUAAAUUACUUUAGGGAUAACAGCGUAAUUUUUUUUAAGAGUUCUUAUCAACAAAAAAGAUUGCGACCUCGAUGUUGGAUUAAAAUUUAUUUUUGGGUGUAGUUGUUCAAAGUUUAGGUCUGUUCGACCUUUAAAUUUUUACAUGAUCUGAGUUCAGACCGGUGUAAGCCAGGUCGGUUUCUAUCUUUAAUAUAAAUUAAAUAUUUUAGUACGAAAGGACCAAAUAUUUGGAAUAAAAUUCUAAAUUUAUUAUUGAUUAAUAUUAAUAUAAAUAAUA
rnacentral:rRNA from 1 species